AGUCUGCCGCGAGGCUAUCUGUCUUUCACUGCGGAUACCGUGAGGGGAGGCCGGACCGCGAGACAAGACACCGAGAGAAUUGGCACUUUGGACGGAGGUCCAUGUAAAACGUGUCCAUCUAUCAUGCUGGCUGGGUUCCCACAGCAGAGUUAUUGACACAGUAAAUUAAAGACGGCACACAUCAGGUAGCUGACAGAUCGGAGGCAUCAAAAUAAAGCUCUGCCACACUAGGUGAGUUCCUCUCUUUUUUUUUUAUGUCCAUACUUCUCAUUUAUGUCUGCCUCUACACUCUAUUUUAUCUACAUUUAAAAAAAAAAAAACGUAUGCUCUACUUUAGUGGGUGUACAUGUUCUCCUAUUUACCUGAAAGCAUGCAUUUGUUGGCCAUAUAUAUUCAGUUGUAUUGGGUGUAUAAAAGAAAAUACUACUGCUCUUAAUUUUCUGAAUUCCCCACAAAUAAUUGAAUAUAUUUAUUCAUGCUCUUAUUUUUGUUAAGCAUGAAUAUUGAUAUAUUACCAGUUGACAUUAACUAUUGAUUUUUCUCCAAGUUUUUCCUUACUACUUACCUACAGCUGGUUAAUACAUGUGAACAUUUGUUAUAUGUUUCUCAAGAAAUGAUGAAACUUUAUUUAGCCCCAUAGGAAAUAAGGUUAAACAAAACAAGGAUAUUCUGCCCCUCUAAGUAUCUGGAGAGAUGAGUGUGGUCUGCAAAUGCAAGGAGGAAUCAUUGCUAUAUUUAUUGGAUUAUCAUGUUAUGCAACAACUUAAGCAGAAUGUUGUUUCCUGCUUGAAACAAGAGUGGAGACUGAAAACUCUUCAAGACUUUAACCGUUUUUAAGGAUAUGCAUCAGGGAGAGACUUGGAAAAAUGCUACUUUUAUGUCAGGUCCUGGAUCCUCUAAAUGGCAUGGCAAACUGCCCUGGUUACCAUGGCUAUGAGGGGGUUUGAGAGCGCAUUAAUCGGGAGGAUUUAGGUUUCUUUCUCUUUCAUUUUUUUUUUUCAAAAACACUCUCCGAACCCCUUUAUGAAGCUGAUUUACGUUGCACAAUUUCUGUGUGUGUAGAUCAUGGGAAUUGACUCCAAAAGGUAACAGUUUAUGAGCGAGGGAAGAUAGAAGUGUGUAGUCUCAGUCAGCAGACUGUUGUUGCUGUUGAAUGUGUGUUUUAGUAGAAAAUAUCAGAGUUAGCAGUGUAACACAUUCUGCCUACAUUUGUUUAUAUGAAAGGUUUAUGCUAUGAGGGAAUAUUAUUGUGCUAAACGGGCUACAGGGCUGCAGGUUUUUAUCAUUCAUUAUAGCUUAAUGAAGAUUAAAUGUUUUGUAAAAGCUUUGGCAUCAAAAGGUGUAUUCAUUUGCUACAAUGGCCAUAUUUGGCACUCAACCAGCCCCUUCUUAAUUGUGCAAUCUGGAACUAGUAGAUGAUGUCUGAUGUGGCUGCGCCCAGACUGUCUUGGGUAAAUGGAGCUCUUUGUGUCCACACAUUUUACCUAUGACAGACAGGCAGCUGAUAAAAAUCACGCAUAAAGCAGUAUCACUCUGCGCUACUUUCCAGCGGCGAUUUUUUCCCCCCCAUCUUCUGCUUUGGUCAGAGACAGCAGAUUGAUGGUGACAGAGUGACAUUGCAUUCUGGGAACCCAGGACUAUGGCCAUAAAUCCAUGGCGAUUCAGCUUUACAAUGGCCUACUGUCUAGCCAUCACAGGGUAGUAGGUUGUUACUGCAUCACCCUAGUGAGCUGCUAGGGUACAACUAUUAUGCUUUCUGGGGGGGAUUAAGACACCAGGGGAAAUAGUCAGGAUGGUAAUGAAUUAUGAAAAACUAAUAGAAUGAAAAAGAGGAAGAGGAGAGAGAAAAACUUCUUUGGUGAGUGGAAAUUUCCCACGCUCUUUAGACGUUAACGCUGCUAUGAUUCUUUUCAAGUGGAUCUGUCAAAUCAGAGCCUCGGCUGUAUUAGAAAGCAAAUACAACAGAUGAACAAAUAAACAGUCUAAGUUUCUUAUUGACCUUGGAGAACCAGCUGUGUUGUGAGUGCAGAAAACUGCCCUCACCCCCCUUCCCCCCAUUCUGGUGAAAGUGUGUGUGUGUGUGUGUGUGUGUGUUUGUUUACUUCUGUCUGAUGUGAGUACGAGCAGAAUAGAGCUCUUGAGCAUAGGUUUGUGCUUUUGUUCAAACUGCAUGCGUUUGUGCUUGCCUUUGUAUUUGGGCACAAUGAAUGGCAUGCAGCUCUGUCAUUUGAUUGGUUCGAAACAAACUUCAAACUUAUUGAUAAUUCAUUCAAGUCCCAGCUGGCCUUUUGCAGUCUUGGGAUACAAGCUUGAGAGGUCAAAUGUGUUUUAUGUCUUCUAUCACUGGGCCACAUAAAUAGUCACUAUGUCCUAUGAUAAUAAACGAACGUUUUGGCAACAUCGAAUUAAAAAUAAGCUUUUCAGAAAUAAGAAAAUUAUUCAGUGAAACUUUUACAGAAGUGAGUUAUUGUGCAUGUAUUGAGAGUAUAUGUACAGUUUUCUAAGACUUGCACUUUGCAAUAAAUUAAUAUCAGGUGCAGUGUUUAUAUUACACUCCGAUAUCAUUUUAAGAGUUAUUUUUAGCCCUCAUCUGUCUGAUUUAACUGUUCAUGGGAGUGAUGGUGUGUGUGUGAACAGAAGCUGUUCAUGUGUGGUUGUUUCAACACUAAUUCAACAAUAAUCUGAUAUUUAGAAAAGGGGAUAUCAAUAUUAAAAGGUCAGGUUUAUCCAAACUUAAAAAAACAAACGUAUUUACUCUUGCCUUCAGCGCAGUGGUUCCCAAGGGGUCACACAAUAAACCUAAACUCAAGGGGUCGUGAAACAAUUAACAUGUACACAAAUUAUUACUUUUUCCUGAAUUUGCUCAUAAUCCACAGACAAAGGCUGUACCCAUGGUGAUGAUUUUGUUUUAAUUUGCCACCAUACAAUGAAGCUGAAUGUAAAUGUAUUCAUGGUGCUCACAGCAUUGAACAUAUUCAAGCGUAACAAAGUGACAAAGUAGUUCAAAUGUUGACGGUGUGUCGGAAUAUCCAGAGUAACAAUGACACAAUUAAGGAAAUGUCACUGUCAUUUUCUUUUUAUGUAAAUUGGCAAUACUUUGAGCAUCAAAAAUACUUGUCUGCAGAAAUAACUCCACAAAUAAAAUGUGCGUGUGUUUGUGUUGUAAGCUGUAAUUUGGGUGAACCAACCCCUUGAAACACACAAAUGAAACAAGCCUAGUACUGUAAAAGCAAUGAAUUCCAUCUAUGCUUAUAGCUAACCAACAUCAUGAAUAAGUGGGCACAAAGACUCUUGGUGAUUUUGGCUCAGUAAUGGGUGCCAUACUUCAACUACCAGCGUAUACCCGAGGCCUCUCCCUCUUCCCUCCCCAAGCGAGCUGGAAGCAGCUCUACAGUAUGACCUCCUCCUGUGCGAUCAGGCCUGCAGCACUUGUCAUCUCCCUGGUGGCAGCUUAGAUUCUCCAAGUUUUAGGUUAAUUAAUCAAAAAUGAUUUCUUUUCUCAUUAGCCAUGCAGUUGGUUUGCAAUCUGCAAAAUCAAUGUUUUACAGAUGUUUCCUUGGGUUUUGUUUUUCGAGACGGCGCUGAUUUUUAUUGGGUAUAGAUUUAAGAGGGUGCUGAGGGAUUGUGAGUUAACUCAGCCACACAAAAUCAAACGCACACGCGCAGCCACAGACACACUAAAUGCACACUAUGCAUAGUCACGUGCUCAAAUAAACACCAACAUAAAUACAGUAAAUACAGAACAAGCUUACACAAACACACAAACUUGGCUCCUUCUAACUUACUUUCAGGACCUGGAAUCUCAGCAAGAGCGCUGCGUUGAAUGCAAUCCCUUCAUCUAACUGAUACA